AGCCUCUCCUGCACAGAGACCAAAAAGGAAACAAGUUGGAUGAAGCAACGUCACCAACGGAGCAGCUCUGCUGUGUCCCUGAACCCAGAGAACCAAUCAUUGCACUACAGACGCAAGAAGGGAACACAAAGCAAGUCAUCUGCGCAAUAACUGAGCACUCGCAGCAUCAUAUUGGUGUGUGUGUCUCCUGCUUCACCGUAGGAGGGUUGUGCCAUUUGCAUGUGGUGCCUCGAUGUGAUUUGGUGAUGCAGCUGUCCGGCAUGCAGGUAAGCCUGGCAUCUUUGUGGUGGACAAGUUUUGCAUGCAGUAACUCAUGGGCAGCGUGGGUCAAACAGCAUCCGCUUCGGAGAGGGCAGCUGUACAACAUUUGGUCUCUUUUUCUACACAAAUCGGGCAUCUUAUCAAGCAGCUGGAGCUGGUCUUGCUGCUUCGUUUCGCCCAGCACAAGGGCAAUCUUCUGCUGACCUGUUUGAUGUGAGACAUUGGAUGAACAUCAGACAGGAGCUUUCAGAGUCCGUGGCCGUUAAUAAUAAGGAAGCGCGGUUAUCGGCACCCACAGUUGAUGAUGUUAAGGGUGAUGCUGCUAUCAUAGAGGCAUUGCAGGGAGCUUUGAUGUUGGCAAAGCCCCUGCUGGCCUGCCCUGUUGAUUCUAUAGGCUUCUGGUCACAGGAGCAAGUCUCUUGUCCCCUCCUAGUGCUCCCUGAGCUGCCUCCAAAUGCAGCGGCCGUGCAUCCAGCAGAGGAUAAGAUGGAUGUCGAUUUGUCCUCCUCCCACAUCCUUCCUCCGUUGCCUCCAUCUCUCACCUAUUCGUUGGAUGAGGAGUCAGCUACGUUUUGUGAACUUCACACCUCGCUACGGGAACAAAAGAUGCAGGAUCUCAAUCCUAAAAAGGAUUCUAGGACCAUUCAGCAGCAAUAUCUGAAGCCGUGUUGCCUGGGUUGACCAGUUUGGAAGAGCAGCUUAUCGGUGUUGGGUGUCGUGGUCCGGGGGGAAGAAUGGCAAAGGGAGGGUGGUGUGUCUGUAGAGGAGCAAUGAGGGUCAUCUGAAGGGAAAGAUGGGCCUUUGAGAGACAGGCAGCUUCGGUGGGUGGUGCAAUGAGUGAGGGAUGGUGAGAUGCUGGAAGUGGCUGCAUAUCGGGAAUGGAAUCGGUGGGGGGAGGAAGCUGAACACUUGCUAAUACGUUUUUUGGAAGCAGAAAAGAAGGAAGGAAAAGGUGAAGGGCUUCAGAAAGGAAAGGGUGCAAUAGGGGAGGAUUUGAAGGCUGAGGGAAAGGAUUUAGGAAAGCUGUGUUGGUGGUUAAGGAGGGAAAACAAAAAGUCCUUUGAUCAGAGCAGGAGCCAGAUUUAUUUCCACCUGAUCCGGAUGGCUUUGAUCCGGGACAGAGAUGGAAAGGGGUAAUGAAGGAUGCUCUUCUAGAAGGAGUGAUGUUACCAAAAUCUUUUACUGCCCUACCAGCAACGGUGAACCCACAGAGUCAGGUACAGUGGACCCCUUUUGAUUGGAAAACUGUUAGUAAUGCAAUACAGAAUGGAUAAUAAGCUGGUAGUGCAGAUGGUUACAGCUGUUUUUAAAGGUCAGGUUUUGGUACUGUCAGCUAAUGGAGCUGGUAUUGCCACCUACUGCCUAUUUACUUUUCUCAGAAAGGCAGAUGCAGCUCUACUACAGGAUCUUGAGUUACGGGAUGGGGAUUCCCAUAGUGGCUAAUAGGGAUAUGCUGGUAGGUUGGGGGAAUUGGACUGUGGGUCUGGCUGAAGCUUUGAUGCCACCAGCAGUGAUUCAGCAGGCACAAGAUUUGGCACUAGCAGCCUUUAGGGACCCAGCACCCGUCGUAUGUCGACAUCAAGCAGAAGCGUGGAGAAUCCUUUAUGCAAUUUAUUGAUUGCCUGAAGGAAGCGAUUGAUGCGUUGCCAAAUUUGACAGCCGAGGCCAAAGAUGCAGUUUUAAAGGAUUUAGUGGUGAUUAAUGCAAAUUCCCAGUGUCAGCAGAUUAUAGCUUCCCUGGGUCGAGAUGCUUCCCUUACUGCUAUUAUUGAGGCUUGUAUGGUGUUGACCAUGGAGAAAGUUAAAGCUAGAGCACAAGCUGAUGUGUUAGCAACUGUAUUAAAAGAUAUGAUGGGGGUGCCUUUGCUGCUAUAUUUUUGGACAGCCUGGGCAUUUUAAAAAGCAAUGUCCCCAUAAACCAUGCAGGCUGGCAUCUGGCCCAUGUUUCCAAUGGAAUAAGCCAGGGCAUCAAGCAAAAAGUGAUGAGCCUGAGACUCUCGCAAACAGGGAAACACAAAUCCCCAUCCCAAGGGGGGUGGAAUGGGGGUUCAUGACAAAAGCCCUGCAGAGGACUGGUUGCCUGCUUGACUGAGCUACUGGAACCAAAGGAUCUGCAGGAGUCGAUUUGGCUGUAGGACAACUCAUCCAAAUAGAUGAUAUUGCUGUGCAUUUAGUUGCAUCUGAUUGUUCCGGGCCAUUGGGGCAGGGUCUGAGCAUUCCUGUCAUUGGGAGGUUAUCUGCAAGCACAGCAGGGAUAUUGGUUGUCCCAGGAGUAGUAGACACUGAUUAGAUGGGAAAAUGUAUCUUAUGGUGCACAUCUGGUUCCCCCCAAAAAAGCUGGGGAGUGAAUUAAAGGGAAUUGAUUCCCUUUAAGGCCAAUGUUCUGAAACCAGGUGUGACAUACAGGGGAUCUGCUGGCUUCACUGGGCUGACAGCAGCCUUUGUGGAACAAAUAACACAAAAGAAGCCUCUAAGAAAGAUUUGUAUUAGCAGUCAUAAUAAAAAGAUAGAAGCUCUUUUAGGCACCGGUGCAGAUGUGGCCAUAGUUCCUGAUUCUGUAUGGCCACUUUAUUGGCCAACAAAACCAGCUGCAGCUCAAAUUAUAGUAUUGGGGGUCGAUCAAGCACUCGGCAGAGCCAAGUUCUGCUUACUUUGGUUGGCCUUCAAAAGAACCUCUCUGCCUUAAUAAGGCAGCCUUAUGUUCUUCCUGCACUGUAUGUCAUUAUCAGCAGGGAAAUCUUAUGGUAGUGGGGGGUAUCAAUGAUUACACCUUUUUAGCAGCAGCCAUUCUCGAAGGUAACCCUGUGUACAAUUGGAAUGGGUUACAGAACAGCCUGUUCUGGCCACUAUCAGAAUUUAUAGUUACUGAGCUAUCAAAAUUAGUAGAACAUGUAGCUAAAGGACAUUUACAACCCUCUUUUCUCUUGGGAUACAAACAAAAAGAAAUUAGGAAAAUGGUGUUUGCUUCACAAUCUGUAAUGAAAUGCUGUAAUGAAUGAUGAACGCUGUAAUGAAAGAGAUGGGGCCAUUACAAUUGGGAUUGCCUAGUCCGAAUAUGCUACCUGGAAAUUGGCAGCUGUUGGUAAAGAUUGCUUUUUCACCAUUCCUUUACAUCCUAACAAUUAUGAGAAGUUCUCUUUUGCAGGAUGAACAAUAGCAAAAAAGUGAUAUCACUGGGUUGUGCUCCCACAGGGAAUGAUAAAUUCACCCCCAAUGGUUGACCAGGCUUUACAGUCAGUUAGGAAAACUCAUCCAGAGGACAUUAUUUACCAUUACAUGGAUGAUGUUAUUAUUGCAUCACAACGGAUAAUUGAAGAGGGAAUGGUAGAAGAGCUACAAUCCAUCUCGCACCCAUUUAGGGUUUAGUAACAGCUCCAGAAAAGGUAGAGUGGAUGGAACCUUUCUUGUACCUGGGCUAUAAAGCAACUGGGGAGACGUUUCAACCACAAAAGGUGCAGAUUAGGGUUAAUAUCAAAACAGUACAGGAUGUCAUGAAACUGGGAGGGGGUCUGCAGUGGAUUCGGAAUUGCAUCAGCAUUAAUAUUAUGUUAGAACCAUUGUUUGCUUUAUUGAGGGAUGCUAAAACGAUAAGCAAGCCUCACAAACUAACAAAAGAAGCACAAGAAGCCAUACAAGCUAUCAGUGGCAAGCUAGAAAAUAAUACACAUCACCUUGAACUGUCCCUUCCAGUGAACUGUUAUAUAUGAGGCAAUUAUAUGGGCCAACAUCUCAAAUGUCACGGUGGAGGUAGGGAAAUUAAAUUAUUUGGCUGACAUUACUAAGCUACCUAACUACAAUUCACCAAUGGAACAGAGGUAUUUGAUAAAGAAUCUCUGGAAUAUCUCAAGGCUGCCACCACAAGAAUUGCAUUUGUUAGGGUCAGUACCCCCAUCGUCAUGGCAGGAUAUUUGUAUGGAUGGAUUGUUAUCAGAUGACUGAGAUGAUGGAUGUGUAAGCAGGAUGGGAUGUACAACAUUUGGGGGUGCCUGGCAGUUAGUUGUUACUUCAUGGAAUGAUUUUUUGGGUUUUUUUUUUGGUCCAACAGCCCAGAAUGUUACUGGAUGCAGUAUCUUGCCAUGUCGAUCCAUAUCAACAGGUGCAGAAGAUCAUGGGGGACAUCCAUUACCCCCUGGCUAUUUUUUUGAUCUGUGGCAACCAGGCAUGGCGUGGAAUUCCCCAGAAGCUUGGAUCUGGAUGGAUGGCUACAGGACCUGGUUAAAUAUGGUAUUGUGCUGUU